CAGGCUGGUCUUCAAAUCCUGGACAUAAGCUGUCCUCCCACCUUAGCCUCCCACACUGCUGAGAUUAGAGGCAUGGGCCACUGCACUUGACCCAAAGACAUCAUUUUAAAACCAACUUGAUUGAGGUCACAUAUUAUUUACUUAAGACACGUAUAUCUGAUGAACCUGCUAACAUCCAGAUUAUAGUUUUCAGAGACAAAUAUUAAACGGAUGGAUUUGAAGAAAUUCAGAAAUUAAGAAAAGCUUGGAGCUUCUAGUCUACCUGGGUUCCUGAGGACUGGACAUUGUAAAUUUUCUGAGGACCCUGAUGCCUUAGGAGUGUGGAAUUAUCAAGAGAAAGUGUGGCAUGGGUGGGACGUUAAAGACACCAUGGUGUUUCACUUGGGAAUAUGGGACAAGGCUCUGGCCAAAGGCACAAAGCACCCCAAGAGACAGAACCUGGUGGAAUGUUAAUAAAAUAAAUAACACAACAAUGAAACAACUAGGAAAAAAGCUUGUAAGCAUAUUGUUGGGUGAAAGGAGUAUAAAUUCUAGUUUAUGUUUUGGCUAGAAGGGGGCAGGGUAAAAAAGUGAUUCUUAUUUUCCCCAUAUUUCUCUUUUUUCUAAUUAGUUACAGAUGUUUUUAUUAUAACAUUUAAGUAAUUAAGGAGAACUCUUUGAGUACAGAAAAUAGUCAAAUGAGGCAAUUUGCUCCAAUUUUAAAAAGAGUUUGGGAAGUGGAAGUCAGAAAAUGUGGAUUUCAGCUUUGCAUUUUAUUGGUGAGCUUCCUUUUAAACUUCUGUCAUCCCAUGUGUGAAAUAAUAGUAAAAUCUAUCUUAUAUUUUUUGGUAUAGUUU
rnacentral:lncRNA from 10 species